rnacentral:rRNA from 1 species
AGAGUUUGAUCAUGGCUCAGAGUGAACGCUGGCGGCAUGCUUUACACAUGCAAGUCGAACGGUAACAGGCCUUCGGGUGCUGACGAGUGGCGAACGGGUGAGUAAUGCAUCGGAACGUGUCCAGGCGUGGGGGAUAGCUCGGCGAAAGCCGGAUUAAUACCGCAUGUGACCUGAGGGUGAAAGCGGGGGAUCUUCGGACCUCGCGCGCCUGGGGCGGCCGAUGUCGGAUUAGCUUGUUGGUGGGGUAAAGGCUCACCAAGGCGACGAUCCGUAGCGGGUCUGAGAGGAUGAUCCGCCACACUGGGACUGAGACACGGCCCAGACUCCUACGGGAGGCAGCAGUGGGGAAUUUUGGACAAUGGGGGCAACCCUGAUCCAGCCAUGCCGCGUGGGUGAAGAAGGCCUUCGGGUUGUAAAGCCCUUUCGGCCGGGAAGAAAGCGCGCGGGUGAACAAUCCGCGUGGAUGACGGUACCGGAAGAAGAAGCACCGGCUAACUACGUGCCAGCAGCCGCGGUAAUACGUAGGGUGCGAGCGUUACUCGGAAUUACUGGGCGUAAAGCGCGCGUAGGCGGUCCACCAAGUCGGGGGUGAAAGCCCGGAGCUCAACUCCGGAAUUGCCUCCGAGACUGUUGGACUGGAGUUCGGGAGAGGAGAGCGGAAUUCCCAGUAGAGGUGAAAUUCGUAGAUAUUGGGAAGAACACCAGUGGCGAAGGCGGCUCUCUGGCCCGUAACUGACGCUGAGGCGCGAAAGCGUGGGGAGCAAACAGGAUUAGAUACCCUAGUAGUCC